UGCUAGUCGGACGAGUUUAGACUCGUGGCGAAUAGCUCAGUAACACGUGGCCAAGCUACCCUUCAGACCGUGAUACCCUCGGGAAACUGAGGUCAAUAACAGAUACGGUAUCCAUGUUGGAAGACAGGAUACUCCAAACGCUUUCCGCGCUGAAGGAUGCGGCUGCGGCCGAUUAGGUAGACGGUGGGGUAACGGCCCACCGUGCCAAUAAUUGGUACGGGUCAUGAGAGUGAGAGCCCGGAGACGGAAUCUGAGACAAGAUUCCGGGCCCUACGGGGCGCAGCAGGCGCGAAACCUUUACACUGCACGCACGUGCGAUAGGGGAAUCCCAAGUGCGAGGGCAUACUAGCCCUCGCUUUUGUGUACCCUAAGGCGGUACACGAAUAAGAGCUGGGCAAGACCGGUGCCAGCCGCCGCGGUAAUACCGGCAGCUCGAGUGAUGUCCAAUUUUAUUGGGCCUAAAGCGUCCGUAGCUGGCCAGCCAAGUUCGUCGGGAAAUCCACCUGCCCAACAGGUGGGCGUCCGGCGAAAACUGUCUGGCUUGGAACCGGAAGGCUCAGAGGGUACGUCCGGGGUAGGAGUGAAAUCCUGUAAUCCCGGACGGACCACCGAUGGCGAAAGCACUCUGAGAAGACGGAUUCGACAGUGAGGGACGAAAGCUAGGGUCUCGAACCGGAUUAGAUACCCGGGUAGUCCUAGCUGUAAACGAUGCUCGUUAGAUGUGGCACCCACUACGAGUGGGUGCUGUGUCGU
rnacentral:rRNA from 1 species